rnacentral:rRNA from 1 species
UACGUAGGUGGCGAGCGUUAUCCGGAAUACUGGCGUAAGCGCACGCAGGCGGCGUGUUAAGUCUGACGUGAAAUCUCUUGGCUUAACUGGAGAAGUCGUUGGAAACUGGCAGGCUUGAGGUAAUGAGAGGGGUGCAGAAUUCCCGGUGUAGUGGUGGAAUGCGUAGAUAUCGGAGGAAUACCAGUGGCGAAGGCGGACACCCGUGGCAUUGACC